rnacentral:rRNA from 1 species
GCAGGGAAUUUUGCACAAUGGGCGAAAGCCUGAUGCAGCGACGCCGCGUGGGGGAUGAAUGCCUUCGGGUUGUAAACCCCUUUCAGGAGGGACGAAGCGAAAGUGACGGUACCUCCAGAAGAAGCCCCGGCCAACUACGUGCCAGCAGCCGCGGUAAUACGUAGGGGGCGAGCGUUGUCCGGAUUUAUUGGGCGUAAAGAGCUCGUAGGCGGCUCAGCAAGUCGGCCGUGAAAGCCUGAGGCUCAACCUCAGGAUGCCGGUCGAAACUGCUGUGGCUAGGGUUCGGUAGAGGAGAGUGGAAUUCCCGGUGUAGCGGUGAAAUGCGCAGAUAUCGGGAGGAACACCAGUAGCGAAGGCGGCUCUCUGGGCCGACACCGACGCUGAGGAGCGAAAGCUAGGGGAGCAAACAGG